rnacentral:miRNA from 2 species
GACCUGGACAUGUUUGUGCCCAGU